AAAACAUUCAGACCAUCGGUCUGUCGAGCAAUAUCACCCGCUCGGUGGAAGAUCUUCUCUCGGCCGU
rnacentral:pre_miRNA from 1 species